GUAGUGUAUGCUUCUCCUAAAGACUAAGCCAUGCAUGCCUCCGAAUAGAAGAGCAUUCUCUCUGAAUCUGCGAACGGCUCCGCAAACCAGUUGUAAACCAUAGCGAGCACGCCCUUGGGUGGGCCGCAAGGUCCGCCCGGGGGUAAUAAGGAUAACCCUGGUAAUUCUGAGGCUAAUACAAGAACGUAACCCUGGCUGACCGGCAACGGGAGGCUGGGGGACGUGCGAAUUAAUGCAAAGCUUACUGGGAAUAGAUGCACGUCCAGACCACCAUCCAAACGGUAGCGUGACCUUCGGGGAGCGUGUCCGGGUGGCUCUCGCGUUGUGCUUCUGACCUAUCAACUAGAUGGCAGCGUAAGGGACAUGCUAUGGUGACAACGGGUACAGAGGAUAAGGGUUCGAUCCUGGAGAGUGGGCCUGAGAGAUUGCUCACACUUCUAAGGAAGGCAGCAGGCGCGCAACGUUCCCCUUGGGCAAUGCUCGAGGGCGUUAGGGGACAUAUGAAUGCCUGCCAAUAGGUGGGCAAUUCAAAUGG
rnacentral:rRNA from 1 species